rnacentral:rRNA from 1 species
GAUGAACGCUGGCGGCGUGCCUAAUACAUGCAAGUCGAGCGAACAGACGAGGAGCUUGCUCCUCUGACGUUAGCGGCGGACGGGUGAGUAACACGUGGAUAACCUACCUAUAAGACUGGGAUAACUUCGGGAAACCGGAGCUAAUACCGGAUAAUAUAUUGAACCGCAUGGUUCAAUAGUGAAAUACGGUUUUUCUGUCACUUAUAGAUGGAUCCGCGCCGCAUUAGCUAGUUGUUAAGGUAACGGCUUACCAAGGCAACGAUGCGUAGCCGACCUGAGAGGGUGAUCGGCCACACUGGAACUGAGACACGGUCCAGACGCCUACGGGAGGCAGCAGUAGGGAAUCUUCCGCAAUGGGCGAAAGCAUGACGGAGCAACGCCGCGUGAGUGAUGAAGGUCUUCGGAUCGUAAAACUCUGUUAUUAGGGAAGAACAAAUGUGUAAGUAACUAUGCACGUCUUGACGGUACCUAAUCAGAAAGCCACGGCUAACUACGUG